rnacentral:rRNA from 2 species
CGAAGAACCUUACCAGGUCUUGACAUCCUUUGACCACUCUAGAGAUAGAGCUUUCCCUUCGGGGACAAAGUGACAGGUGGUGCAUGGUUGUCGUCAGCUCGUGUCGUGAGAUGUUGGGUUAAGUCCCGCAACGAGCGCAACCCUUAUUACUAGUUGCCAGCAUUUAGUUGGGCACUCUAGUGAGACUGCCGGUGACAAACCGGAGGAAGGUGGGGACGACGUCAAAUCAUCAUGCCCCUUAUGACCUGGGCUACACACGUGCUACAAUGGAUGGUACAACGAGUUGCGAGACCGCGAGGUUUAGCUAAUCUCUUAAAACCAUUCUCAGUUCGGAUUGUAGGCUGCAACUCGCCUACAUGAAGCCGGAAUCGCUAGUAAUCGCGGAUCAGCAUGCCGCGGUGAAUACGUUCCCGGGCCUUGUACACACCGCCCGUCACACCAUGAGAGUUUGUAACACCCAAAGCGGGUGAGGUAACCCUUCGGGGAGCCCAGCCGU